UUUAGUGAGGUGUUUUUGCAUUUUACAUUUUGGUUGUAAAGGCGGUUAGUUUCCCGCUUUUU
rnacentral:tRNA from 1 species